rnacentral:misc_RNA from 1 species
GUGAAUCAUCGAAUUUUUGAACGCAUAUUGCACUCUCUGGUAUUCCGGAGAGUAUGCCUGUUUGAGGGUCAGUUAAAUAAAAAUCGGGGUUUUUGCCACCAUUGGUGGUGACGCUUCGGAAUUAGGUCGUCUUUAACUUUCGGUUAAGUUACUUAAAAUUUUUGAAUGAUCUCUGAACGAAUUUAACUUUAUUUGUUACGUCUUUGUAAUUUCGAAUUUUUAUUGGGUGUGGUCAUC